rnacentral:rRNA from 1 species
UACGUAUGGGGCAAGCGUUAUCCGGAUUUACUGGGUGUAAAGGGAGCGCAGGCGGCCUGGCAAGCCUGAUGUGAAAUACCGGGGCCCAACCCCGGGGCUGCAUUGGGAACUGCCAGGCUGGAGUGCCGGAGAGGCAGGCGGAAUUCCUAGUGUAGCGGUGAAAUGCGUAGAUAUUAGGAGGAACACCAGUGGCGAAGGCAGCCUGCUGGACGGUGACUGACGCUGAGGCACGAAAGCGUGGGGAGCGAACAGG